UCCCUGGUGGCCUAGUGGUUAGGAUUCAUCACUUUCACUGCUGUGGCCUGGGGUUCAAUCCCUGGUCAGGGAA
rnacentral:tRNA from 1 species